rnacentral:tRNA from 1 species
GGGUGUGUAGCUCAGGUGGUAGAGCACUUGACUUUUAAUCAAGUUGUCCGGGGUUCGAAUCCCCGCACGC